rnacentral:tRNA from 1 species
GGCCUCGUAGCGCAGCAGGUGGAGAGCGUGCGCUAUACAGAAGUGUAGGCGGCGCCCAUGCGUGGGUUCGAAUCCCACCGAGGCUA